CGGUAUGCUUAACACAUGCAAGUCGAACGCGAACGUUUCUUCGGAAACAAGUAGAGUGGCGGACGGGGAGGUAACGCGUAGGAAUCUGCCUAGUAGUGGGGGACAACUUAGGGAUACUUAAGCUAAUACCGCAUACGCCCUACGGGGGAAAGCAGGGGAUCUUCGUUGGAUGAGCCUGUGCGAGAUUAGCUAGUUGGUGAGGUAAUGGCUCACCAAGGCUACGAUCUCUAGCUGGUCUGAGAGGACGAUCAGCCACACUGGGACUGAGACACGGCCCAGACUCCUACGGGAGGCAGCAGUGGGGAAUAUUGGACAAUGGGCGCAAGCCUGAUCCAGCAAUACCGCGUGUGUGAAGAAGGCCUUAGGGUUGUAAAGCACUUUCAGCAGUGAGGAAAAUGACGUUAACUGCACAAGAAGCACCGGCUAACUCCGUGCCAGCAGCCGCGGUAAUACGGAGGGUGCGAGCGUUAAUCGGAAUUACUGGGCGUAAAGCGCGCGUAGGCGGCCUGAUAAGUUGGAUGUGAAAGCCCUGGGCUCAACCUGGGAACUGCAUUCAAACUGCCCUGACUAGAGUGUGGUAGAGGGAAGUGGAAUUCCGGGUGUAGCGGUGAAAUGCGUAGAUAUCCGGAGGAACACCAGUGGCGAAGGCGGCUUCCUGGACCAACACUGACACUGAGGUGCGAAAGCGUGGGGAGCGAUCAGGAUUAGAUACCCUGGUAGUCCACGCCGUAAACGAUGAGAACUAGAUGUUGGGGGGCAUGUCCCUUUAGUGUCGAAGCUAACGCGUUAAGUUCUCCGCCUGGGGAGUACGGCCGCAAGGUUAAAACUCAAAUGAAUUGACGGGGGCCCGCACAAGCGGUGGAGCAUGUGGUUUAAUUCGAUGCAACGCGAAAAACCUUACCUACUCUUGACAUCCUCGGAACUUGUCAGAAAUGACUUGGUGCCUUCGGGAGCCGAGUGACAGGUGCUGCAUGGCUGUCGUCAGCUCGUGUCGUGAGAUGUUGGGUUAAGUCCCGUAACGAGCGCAACCCUUGUCCUUAGUUGCCAGCACGUAAUGUGGGAACUCUAAGGAGACUGCCGGUGAUAAACCGGAGGAAGGUGGGGACGACGUCAAGUCAUCAUGGCCCUUAUGAGUAGGGCUACACACGUGCUACAAUGGCCGGUACAAAGGGCUGCAAACCCUCGAGGGGGAGCGAAUCCCAUAAAACCGUUCGUAGUCCGGAUUGGAGUCUGCAACUCGACUCCAUGAAGUCGGAAUCGCUAGUAAUCGUGAAUCAGAAUGUCACGGUGAAACGUUCCCGGGCCUUGUACACACCGCCCGUCACACCAUGGGAGUGGGCUGCACCAGAAGUAGGUUGCUUAACCUUCGGGAGGGCGCUUACCACGG
rnacentral:rRNA from 1 species